rnacentral:lncRNA from 1 species
CACAGAAGACGAAGAGCUGGAAUAGAGCUCGCCUCGGCUCUGCUGGCCUUGGCUGCAGCUCUUCCAGAAACCCGGGGCGCCCACAGAAGAAUCUCUUACCUGGCUCUCUCUUCAGGGAUGACAUCAUCGGCUCACACCAGUCUUCCAGGACCACCUUCUGGAUGCCAAGGCUGCUGCUCGAGUACCUGCUGUGCACCUCUACCUCCUGAGCCAAGGAGCACGGAUUCCAGGAACCCACUACCAUACAGAGCAACUCCUUGUGGACCCCCCUGGGAUCAGGACAGCGAGGGACAAGCGACAAAGAGGAUCAUCAGUGGCCAGCUAGUUUCUCUGGGGUUCAAACCUUGAACCAGUGCCCUAGUGAGGGGGCACUGGCCAUGGCCCUUGACCUUUGCUCUGCUUGUGUCUUGAGUCUGAGCCCUUUCCUGUACAUCUGUGCUCGUGUUCAUCUGCUAGUGAACUGGAGUGCUGCCCUCCCCGAGGAGGGUCGUCCCUUGUGACUGAUCAUGCUGUCCUAACAAUGUCCUGAGCAAAAGGGUCCCUUUGGGAACCUCUCAGGAGGGGGACCCGGGUCAGGGGCGACCAGCAUCUUGCUGGCAACUCCGUGGGUGGGGUGGGGUGGGGUGCUUCCUUCUGGAAUGAGCACGUGGCUGACCCCCCAAGGCAUGUCCCCUCCCCCUCCUCCACCCACCUUCUCGGAGAUGUCCCUUUUGGGGUAGUGGGGACAUUAGGAGCAACCUCCUAGGGUUGUUGUGAGAAUUAAAUGAACUGCAGCAGCCUGAGGCAGGGCUGGGCAGAGACCUCAGCACAUGUUUGUUGAAAGGUUUGCAGGUGGAUCUAGUCCUCCCGUUCAUGGCUCAUGUGUCUCAACCAUUCUCUCGCAGACUCCUGCAGCCCCUAUGCCCAGGGCUCUCCUUGCGCCAGCCCCGGCUUCUCGAGGCCUGUCUACACUCGCUGCUUUCCUUCCUCACCUCCAAUUUCCCCUCCAACCCACUGCUUCCUGACUCGCUCUUCUCCAUCGAACGGCUCUCGCUCAGGUUUAAGGCUUGGCUUGCUGGCCCUGGAGAUCCCGUCGCCGUCUUCGUCGAACUCGAAAUCCUAGCCAUCGUCCUUCCCUGGCCUGUCGCGUCUUCCUGUGCCAUUUGCUGUUGUGCUCAGGUUCCACGAGCUGCCCAUCUCCACAGAAGAGCAGCUGGCAUUGCCCACCGGCCAUGCCGGCUGAAGAAAAGAAGACUGAGGACCCCAGGAUGCCCAGCGCGAGGACCCCAGGAAGCCCAGCGCGAGGACUCCACCCACGACGCCCAGCGCGAGGACUUCACGCACAACACGUUGCAACCCUCCUGGAUUAGGCCUCUACAGCCACGGGGACGCCUUGCACAUUUCCUGUGGGACAUGCUGGACCCAAGACUCUGGACCCUGGCCUCCCCUUGAGUAGAGAGACCCACCUACUGACUGAUGAACUGCGCUGACCCUGGGGUCAGGCAUGUGGCCUUGAUCCCUACCCAUGGACCCUGAGACUUGGGGGGGUGGGAGAAAGGCUGUUGUGUCUUCACUGUUGAGUCUACAUCUGUGAAAUGGGCUCAGGUUCCUACCUCACAGGGCUGUUGUGAGGCAGCCGCAAUGUGCUUAGAAGCAUGGGGCCUAGUGGCUCAUGGUGCUUUCAAUAAAUUUCUUGUUUUAACUAAAGCA